CGAAGAUUUGCGCAAGCAUUUACAGCAUGCGUUUGCUUUUGCCCAAAAGAAUCUAGAAAAAGCAGCGACAGGGGUUAAGACCUAUUACGAUUUAAAAACCACAAAAAAGGAAAAUGAGAUCACAGAUCAUGUCUAUCUGUAUAACUUUGCGCGAAAUCAAGUUAAGGAAAAUAAAUUUUUACCUUCUUGGAAAGGGCCAUGUCAUCAUUGACAAAAUUUCCCCUGUAGCGUAUAAGAUAAAAAUUCCUAAGGAUGGUGAUUUUAUUGUAAGUGGGUUCACAUUAACCAGUUGUGUGCUUGUCAUCCUAAAUCUCAAUUAAGGAUUAUAGGUGUGGAUUCGGACGCAGAAGGGUGAACGACUAACCUGGAUGAAUGCUUGAUUCACGUGGUAUCGUAUGAUGUGAAGUGUUGUGAUGUGCCA